rnacentral:rRNA from 1 species
UACGUAGACCUCGAGCGUUAUCCGGAUUUACUGGGCGUAAAGCGUGUGUAGGUGUCUUUUUAAGUCUCUGGUGAAAUCUCCGGGCCCAACCCGGAAACUGUCAGAGAAACUAAAAGGAUUGAGUAUGGCAGAGGCUGAUGGAAUUCCAGGUGUAGCGGUAAAAUGCGUUGAUAUCUGGAAGAACACCAGUGGCGAAGGCGAUCAGCUGGGCCAGUACUGACGCUGAGGAGCGAAAGCGUGGGGAGCAAACAGG